rnacentral:rRNA from 1 species
AUACCCUAUUAUUUUUAAUGUAAAAGAUAAAGCCCGAGUAUUAUUAGUUAUGAUCUUGAAACUUAAAGAAUUUGGCGGUAUCAUAGUCUAUUUAGAGGAACCUGUUAUGUAAUCGAUAUUCCUCGUUAAAUCUUACUUAUAUUAUUUUUUGUAUAUCGCUGUUUUGUGAAUAUAUUUGUAGAUUAAAUUUUCUUAAUAUUUAAUUAAAUAAUAUUUCAAGUCAAGGUGCAGAAAUAUAUAAGGCUAAUAAUGGGUUACAAUAAAUUGUAUUUAGUGGAUUAAUUAUUGAAAUAUAAAUAUGAAAUUGGAUUUAAUUGUAAUUUAAAAAAGAGUUUUUACUUGAUUUAUAGCCCUAUGGUGUGUACACAUCGCCC